UACAGAGGGUGCGAGCGUUAAUCGGAAUUACUGGGCGUAAAGGGCGCGUAGGUGGUUUAUCAAGAGGGUUGUGAAAUACCUGGGCUUAACCUGGGAAUGGCAAUCCAGACUGGUAGACUCGAGUGCGGUAGAGGAUAGUGGAAUUUCCGGUGUAGCGGUGAAAUGCGUAGAGAUCGGAAGGAACACCGGUGGCGAAGGCGGCUAUCUGGACUGACACUGACACUGAGGCGCGAAAGCGUGGGUAGCGAACAGG
rnacentral:rRNA from 1 species